UGAGGUUGCCUUGAGGGUUUUAGGCUUCGAGAGGAGGGUGUGAAGGCUUACCAUAUAUACCACAAACCCUUUUCCCUUGUUGGAUUUAGUUUGAAGAUGCUAUAAUAAUAAUACACGCAAUCGCCUGAUUCACGGCCAUGGAAACUGGGAAACGCCCUGGGAGUACUACACCUACGACGCGAAUGUAAUAAGACAGUGAGAAAAAGACGGGAGCGGAAAGAACAUUACGCACAGUACAUGGACCAAAAAUCCAUCGGUGGAAUUAGGAUUAAGCCUUUUCCCAUGUUCCGCUACAUCAUUUCUGUAACCAUUAUAUCAAGAUAUGAUGUCUGCCGACCCCAGGUGUCCAUCCUUGCAUCUCUUCCUUCAUAUUCCGCCACAUUACUUUUUUAUUAUCAAAAGAGACAAUCACACAUCACAUAUCCUUAACCAUACAUAACCAUAGCCAUAUCCUUAAUAUCCAUCAACUCACCCACCACCGCACUGCACUGUCUUACUCAGAACCCACCUCAUCCCUUUUCCGCUGCGAUGAAUUCAACCAUCCGAACGCCGACGCCCCGCCCACGGGGUUCGCCGGGCGAGACUUGCCGGACCACGGCCCUGCACCACCUCCAUCGCUAGAAGAGGAUUUCCCCGAACCAGUACCAUUCACGGAUGGCAGCGCAGGAUGGGAUGAAGAUGUUGUCAUAUGAUCGUGCCCCUCGCCGCUGGCGCUCGUGUUGAUACGGUGUUGUUCUGUGGGGGAGCGGAUGUCAUUGGCGACGCCAGACGGGGCAGUUCCUGCUGCAGAAGUUGUAGUUGUGGCCGUGGCUGUGGCUGUGGCUACAGAGGUACCAGGAGCGCCGGAGGACGCCUGUUUCGACAGCGUGCUCACGGACGAGGCCGAUUUAGUCGGUUUCAGGAUCUUCAUAUUUCGCGUUCGUGUGGAACGCUGGUAAGCGGACAUGAAAGGACUAUUGGAGCUGCUGUGGAUACUUGGCCCCGUAAAUGUUGUGGACGCUCCCGUUGUUCCCGUAUUAUCCCCCUUACUACCAGUCGUAUCGCGGCGCCAGGGUCCCCAAACGCCGCUACCUUCUGCUUUCGCAGAUGAGGCUGAUGUGCCCGUAGAGGUGCGUUCACCCGUGCUGGAUUUGGGACGGCGCGGGUCUGGGCUUCUAUUGCUGUUGUCUGUGGGGUCGCCGGCGAAAUGGCGCGAGGGUGAACGGGUUUGUGUCCGUCCUAAGAUGUCGAAGGAGUCUGAUGAGUUGCGAGCAGGUAGGGAAGCGGAUGUAUCGGCUUUGUUCGGGAAUGUGCUAUUAUCAUGGGCCACAGAAGCUGGAGGUUCACGCUCAGUGCCGGCCUGGUCCCCAUUGGUCGUUGGGAAACCAUUUCGCUUGUCAUCGACAGCCCCAUUGUACUGUGCCGAUCCUAGCGCAAGAGUGGCCUCAGGACCAGUAGCUAGAUUUCUAAACGUAGAAUCAUCCUCCGGGCGAACCAAAGGUAUUGAGAUUUUGUUGCGCUCGUCGUCAACAAUGAGCAUCUUAUCUUGCGAGAAUAGAAUGUCCGCGUUGUGUGCACGGAGGACAUCGCUGCCCAGGACGAUCUGGAUGCUUUUGUCACCCAAACCUGCGCCACGAAUGACAAAUCGAACCGUCAACGCGGGCAGCUGAGGGACUGGGCUCCCGCCGCGAGAAGACGGCUGAUAGACACUGGCCUCGGGGAGGUAGACUGGAAGUUUGAUGAUUCGCACGCCAUUCUCCUCGGCCGCCUCUUCCUCAAGCCCUAGUUUCCGCACCAUUUGAUCGCUAAUGGCUGAGCGGUACGAUCCCGUACACACCACAGCGUAAAGCAGUGAGUCAUUGGAAAAAUUUGUCGUAAGCCAGCAACGAAUGAUGCAAGGAGAGGGACCUAAAAUGAACAGUCCGGGCGGUGGCGGCAAAGGAGUAUUGCUGGUAGACGAAGGUCCAGUUCCACCACCAAGCAAACGAGAUGCUUCCAGCCCCAUGCUAUUGGUGCGCAUGGAAUGGUGAGAUUGGCCAGAAGAGCUCUGUUUCCCGUC
rnacentral:sRNA from 2 species